AAAAAACAUGUAAUGAAUAUGUUUAUGAAUCUGAUGCACCACCACCUGCCUCUCCAAAACCAAAAAGAAAAAGGGCCAAGAAAAAUGUCACUGUAGUGCCAUCUAGUAGUGCUACUAAUCCAAUACAGGAGCAACCAUCACUUGAUGAAUCAUUGUAAGUUUUCAACUCAAGCUUGAAACAUAUCUUACAUAGCAGACAACUAACAUGCAUUUCUAAAUAAUUUACAGUGCUACACCAACAAGAACUAUCACUUCUGUUUCUACACCAAGCCCUAUGACAAGAAGUAUGUCAAGGAGGUUGCAGCAAAAUCCAUCUACACCAAGUAGAGCUAUCACUCAUGUGCAAACACCUAGCCCUAUGACAAGGAGCCGAAAAAGGUUGCUGGACUUUGAAGACUCCAUAGAGCCUAUUGCAUGUGAAGCACUAU